rnacentral:rRNA from 1 species
AGAGUUUGAUCAUGGCUCAGAAUCAACGCUGGCGGCGUGCCUAACACAUGCAAGUCGAACGAGAAAGUGGAGCAAUCCAUGAGUAAAGUGGCGACCGGGUGAGUAACACGUGACUAACCUACCCUGAAGUGGGGAAUAACCUCGGGAAACCGGGGCUAAUACCGCAUAACAUCGCGAGCUGUAAACGUUUGCGAUCAAAGGAGCAAUUCGCUUUAGGAGGGGGUCGCGGCUGAUUAGCUAGUUGGUGAGGUAACGGCCCACCAAGGCAAAGAUCAGUAUCCGGCCUGAGAGGGCGCACGGACACACUGGAACUGAAACACGGUCCAGACUCCUACGGGAGGCAGCAGUGGGGAAUUUUGCGCAAUGGGGGAAACCCUGACGCAGCAACGCCGCGUGGAGGAUGAAGUCCCUUGGGAUGUAAACUCCUUUCGAUCGGGACGAUUAUGACGGUACCGGAAGAAGAAGCACCGGCUAACUCUGUGCCAGCAGCCGCGGUA